AUAAAAAUCAACUUUGUUGGUGAAUCAUAAUAACUUCUCGGACCGCAUGGCCUCGUGCUGGCGGUGCUUCAUUCAAAUAUCUGCCCUAUCAACUGUGGAUGGUAGGAUAGAGGCCUACCAUGGUUGCAACGGGUAACGGGGAAUAAGGGUUCGAUUCCGGAGAGGGAGCCUGAGAAACGGCUACCACAUCCAAGGAAGGCAGCAGGCGCGCAAAUUACCCAAUCCCAACACGGGGAGGUAGUGACAAUAUGUAACAAUAUACGGCCUUAUACGUCGUAUAAUUGGAAUGAGUACAAUUUAAAUCCCUUAACGAGGAACAAUUGGAGGGCAAGUCUGGUGCCAGCAGCCGCGGUAAUUCCAGCUCCAAUAGCGUAUAUUAAAGUUGUUGCAGUUAAAAAGCUCGUAGUUGGACCUUGGACCUGGACAGGCGGUCCGCCUCACGGCGAGUACUGUCUUGCUGGGUCUUUCCUCUUGGUGAUCUGUUGUUUCGGCAG
rnacentral:rRNA from 1 species